ACAUCGCCUCUUGACAACAUAUAAGAGGUCCAGCCUGCCCAGUGACCUAGUUCAACGGCCGCGGUAUCCUAACCGUGCGAAGGUAGCGUAAUCACUUGUUCUUUAAAUGAGGACUAGUAUGAAUGGCACCACGAGGGUUAAACUGUCUCCUUUUUUUAAUCAGUGAAACUAAUCUCCCCGUGAAGAAGCGGGGAUUCUUUUAUAAGACGAGAAGACCCUAUGGAGCUUUAAACAAGUUAACACCUGCUACUAAUCUUCACUUUCCUGAAUCACCACAUUAAAUAUAGCACCUCUGAUUAACAGUUUUCGAUUGGGGUGAUCAUGGAGCAAAAAUUAACCUCCACGACGAAAAGGAACACCUCCUUGAGCCAAAAGCUACAACUUUAAGCACUAAAAAACUAACGCACUUUGACCCAAUUCUUUGAGCAACGAACCAAGUUACCCUAGGGAUAACAGCGCAAUCCACUUUAAGAGCUCCUAUCGACAAGUGGGUUUACGACCUCGAUGUUGGAUCAGGGUAUCCCAGUGGUGCAGCCGCUACUAAAGGUUCG
rnacentral:rRNA from 1 species